CCUACGGGUGACAGCAGUGAGGAAUAUUGGUCAAUGGGCGCGAGCCUGAACCAGCCAAGUAGCGUGAAGGAUGACUGCCCUACGGGUUGUAAACUUCUUUUAUAAAGGAAUAAAGUGAGGCACGUGUGCCUUAUUGUAUGUCCUUUAUGAAUAAGGAUCGGCUAACUCCGUGCCAGCAGCCGCGGUAAUACGGAGGAUCCGAGCGUUAUCCGGAUUUAUUGGGUGUAAAGGGAGCGUAGAUGGGUUGUUAAGUCAGUUGUGAAAGUUUGCGGCUCAACCGUAAAAUUGCAAUGGAUACUGGCAGUCUUGAGUACAGUUGAGGUAGGCGGAAUUCGUGGUGUAGCGGUGAAAUGCUUAGAUAUCACGAAGAACUCCGAUUGCGAAGGCAGCUUACUAAACUGCCACUGACAUUGAUGCUCGAAAGUGUGGGUAUCAAACAGGAUUAGAUACCCUUGUAGUC
rnacentral:rRNA from 1 species